AGAGCACCUGCCUUACAAGCAGGGGGUCGGCGGUUCGAUCCCGUCAUCCUCCA
rnacentral:tRNA from 1 species